GGUGCUCUUACCCGUGGUAUUCAACCAAACCCGCUCGCUGUAUUUGGAUCAAAAAAACAAACAAAAUUUUUAACGAUAAUAAUUAAACAAACUUUCAACAACGGAUCUCUUGGCUCUCGCAUCGAUGAAGAACGCAGCGAAAUGCGAUAAGUAGUGUGAAUUGCAGAACUUUGUGAACCAUCGAAUCUUUGAACGCAAAUUGCGCCUUCUUUCGGAAGGCAUGUCUGUUUGAGGGCACCAUUUAACAAAUAAUGUGCGCGUCGUUUUUACGAGCGACGUGUGCACGUUGAUGAGCUUUUCCGAAAAAACCAAGUUUUUUUGGUGGCGCAUAAUGAACAGCGUGGGCUUUUUCUUCGAUUCUCGUGUAGUAAAUUUCAAAACAACGCUUGGGUUGAGAAAAAGUGCGUGCCGCGCAAUGGGUGUGGCGAAUUUUACCCCUGCCCCAAUGCCGCUCUUUCCCUGCGAAAGAACAAUCUUUUAUUCAGGGCCUCAAAUCAGACAAGAGUACCCGCUGAACUUAAGCAUAUCAAUAAGCGGAGGAAAAGAAACUAACAAGGAUUCCCCUAGUAACGGCGAGUGAAGCGGGAACAGCUCAAAUUUUAAAUCUGGCUGCUUUGUAGUCCGAGUUGUAAUUUGAAGGAGUCUUGCCGCUGGCAAAACGAUGGCAC
rnacentral:rRNA from 1 species